ensembl:lncRNA
CAGCCACCGCUGUCUCCUGGCAGGAGGCAGGCACAAGGUUGUGCAGAAGCCACGGGGUCUGGUGCGAGAGGGCUGCUCAGCCAGGAGGGUCUGGAGCAGCCAGACAGGCCAGCUCGCGGAGGCUGGCCUGGGGACAGCAAGGCCGGUGGCUGAGACUUACAGUGGCCAGUGGGAGCCGGCGCCUCCCCCCUCUCCUGGCUUUUAGGCCUUGUCUUUCUUCUUCCCACCAUGAAGAAGGAAGUGACCUGAGAGCCAGCAAAGACAGCCAGCCCCUGGCCGGGAGGAGACCAGGGUUGGAGGGCUGUGGCUGUGGGUCCGUCAGCCGCCGGCUCUCCCAACUAGCCAGGCAUGAAGGGCGGUGGCAGUACCGUGUGGAGCCUUAUGUGGAAAUACUGCAUCUCCGUGAGGACCCUCAGAUACAGGUCGAGCAUAUUGAGCCAGACUGGAGGGUAGAGGCAAACACCUUCACACACAUGGGCUUCCCUGCGGCCUCCCUCACCAAGUAAUUUGGAGAUGACAUGCCUUGGAAAGGAAGAGGAUCUCUGAGUCCAAGCCAGUGCCUGAAGAUCCAACAUGGCCUGCCCACAGCUGGUCUUCCAGGGGAAACUGGUGUUGACAAGUGUCAGCCUGCUUCUGCUUCUGCUCUCUGGAUGGGCUCUCUGUGCUGCAUCACCCCUGCCCCCAGCUCAGACCAGGCCUCUUUCCCAUGGUCCACCCACCCCCCUCUCUUCCUCCUCUCUGGGCCCUGAUGUGCUCCCAUUUUCAAUUAAACUGAAGUGAACCAGCUAUCUCUGCAGAGCCACCUUUAUUUACAUAAGCCUUAUUCAAGCCAGAACCAGCUGGCUUCAUGUCUGUUCUGACACACUCUCUGGGUGGUUGUCUCUCCCACUGGGACAUGCUGGCCACUGCCACAUCCUGCCAGCUCUUCCCAGUGAGUGUCUCCAGGCCCCUUAAGUAGCUUACACUCUCCUCCCUCUGCACCCAUUAGCAGCCCCAACCCCCCUUCUCCAGCCCAGCCCACAGAUGCCUUUCCUGGGGCCGUGGCCCACAAUCACUCCAUCUUCCUCCUCUCUCUACUGGCCUGUCCCUACCACCUGCUCUGACAUUCAUUUUCAUCUGUCUGUGACAUCUCUUGAAUAGCAACCUUUUUAUUUCCGUCAUGAACACUAUAUAAGAUUAUCAAAGAAAAUCUGACCAAUUAAACAGGUGUGGAAAAAAAGCUAUUCAAAACUCCACCAUCCAAACACAGAACUGUUAGCGUUUGGAAGUAUUUCCUCUCAGGGCCAUCUGUGUAUGUGUUCACAUCACAGAUCUUGCCUUGUUUAGCUUUUCAGUUCUGCCCUCCCUGUAUACCUAUUGAAAGGAUGCUCCUUGAAGACAAGGGCUGUUUGAGAGGAAGGACAACAUAAGUUGGGCCCUGGAAAGAGCUGUGAGCCCUUCCAACUGCUUCGACAUCUGGCCUAACAACAGUGUCUGUCCUCUGGGCUUCUGCAAAAACAGACAGGCUUGUGGGACUCAGGCUCAGAGGCCUUGCACUGCCCCCCAACAGGCUCCUAUGUGCCCCACCCCGCUGUCAGCCUUGGCCAGCCCCGCCACAGAGGACUCAAGCUGGCAAUAAACAUGGCCCAUGAAAAAUAAUUCCUAUAUAU